rnacentral:rRNA from 1 species
GCACAACCAAACCUCCGAAUAAUCCACGCUAAGACUAUACAAGUCAAAGCAAACUGACACUUACAACUGACCCAAUAAUUUGAUCAACGGAACAAGUUACCCCAGGGAUAACAGCGCAAUUCUAUUCUAGAGUCCAUAUCAACAAUAGAGUUUACGACCUCGAUGUUGGAUCAGGACAUCCUAAUGGUGCAGCAGCUAUCAAGGGUUCGUUUGUUCAACGAUUAAAAUCCUACGUGAUCUGAGUUCAGACCGGAGCA